rnacentral:tRNA from 1 species
GGGGGUGUAGCUCAGUGGUAAAGCACUUGCCAAGCAUGUGUGAGGCCCUGGGUUCCACCACCCCCA